rnacentral:SRP_RNA from 1 species
GGACAGUGUAGCGACUGUCUGUGACCAUGUGGCACUAGAGGAGGUGAAGGCGUUCUGGGCUCGUAAUCCCCCGGGAUGGCGUGUCGAAACCGAGUCUGAUGGAAGGUGGGGGUCGAUAUUGGAUCUCCCGCGGAAGCGGGGAGUUCAAGAUCGCCUAAGUAGGGGGGAAACGCGUUAGGCCGUAACCGGAGCAGCGAAAACUCCCAGCCCCUUCCAGUCCACAGAUAGCUCGGUUGAAUGCCGCU